rnacentral:rRNA from 1 species
UAUGUGGUUUAAUUCGAUGAUACGCGAGGAACCUUACCAAGACUUAAAUGGGAAUUGACAGGCUUAGAAAUAGGCUUUUCUUCGGACAAUUUUCAAGGUGCUGCAUGGUUGUCGUCAGCUCGUGCCGUGAGGUGUUAGGUUAAGUCCUGCAACGAGCGCAACCCCUGUCACUAGUUGCUAACAUUAAGUUGAGGACUCUAGUGAGACUGCCUACGCAAGUAGAGAGGAAGGUGGGGAUGACGUCAAAUCAUCACGGCCCUUACGCCUUGGGCCACACACGUGCUACAAUGGACGGUACAGAGGGCAGCUACCAGGUGACUGGAUGCAAAUCUCGAAAGCCGUUCUCAGUUCGGAUUGGAGUCUGCAACUCGACUCUAUGAAGCUGGAAUCGCUAGUAAUCGCGCAUCAGCCAUGGCGCGGUGAAUACGUUCCCGGGCCUUGUACACACCGCCCGUCAAGCCAUGGAAGUUUGGGGUACCUGAAGUCGGUGACCGUAACAGGAGCUGCCUAGGGUAAAACAAGUAACUAGGGCUAAGUCGUAACAAGGUAGCCG